UGAAUGUGGAGAAUGAGAUGUCACUGAUGAAAACUAAAAUUCAGAAACCAGCACCACAGCCAUAAAGAGAGCCAUCUCAUCUGACUCCAGGCCCAGAGAGCUCAGCUUGGAACUGAACUCAAACAUGGCGUCCAGCAGUGAGCCCAUGCCCAGACCCCUGAGGGUGCCCAGCGGGUACGUCUGCCCAUUGAGGAAAGUCACAGAUCUUUCCUUGUGGUUGAACAGUGAGCAAAACCUCACCAUAAGCACCUGCAAAAGACAACAGGAUAUGAUGAAGGUUAAAAAGUGAACCCAGGUGAGGCACGUUUUGUUUUUAACUCUGAAAAAUCUUGAUUAAAUCUAUAUAAAUA
rnacentral:lncRNA from 1 species